GACCAUAGACAAUAUAGAAGACAUCUAUGGUCGGCACGUGUGGUAGCAUCUCUGGCUGCUGUGGAUCUUGUUUUUGGAGUAAAACACGGUGGAAGCUGAAUUAGUGAGGAUGACUCCUGCUCCUGUCAUCUCUAAACUCCUCCCACAUCUUUACCUGCACAUGAGGAAAAUCACUCCUGUAGAAUGCAGUGGUUCAUCAGAACCUCUGGGGAUGUCCUGUGGAUCCUGUGGGUUGCAGGGUGGAUCCUACCUAGACCAGGCUGAUCCUGGACCAUCCUACAGAUGCUCAAUCAGAUCUGGAUGUGGGGAUUGUGGAACCCAGAUGUUCAGAGGGAGAUGAUGCCACAUCUGGUCCAGCUGAUGGAAGGUCUUGAAGUUCUCUGACUGGCCUGGACUGAAGAUGGUCGUCUCACUGGAUUUAAGGUUCAGAUGCUCAGUAACAAACUCCACCAAUGAGCCAACAGGGAAGCUUUAGGUUUAUUAAAUGUUGCUAUGAAGGUAUCGCUGUUUUUCUUUGUGAAUGCAAUGUGCUCCAACUGAAACUUGAAUUAGAACUUAGAAGUAAAUCCUUCCAUCUGAAAGGAUUUAGUUGCAUUAAUAACCUCAUAACAUCCUAAUUUUUAUUCCAGUCUUGGUUGGAAAUAGAAUCUCUGUAUUGAUUCAGGUAAAAACUGAACUUCACAGCAUGUUGGAGCAAAACAACCAGAUGAAAACUGUGAUGGUGUUGGAUUGUCAGACCGUAAUGUUGCAGCUCAAAGCAGCUUUUCUAUCUCAGUUCAUUCUGACAUUCAGCUAUGAAUCAACACAGCAGAUGGUGAUCCAUGCUGUGGAAGUCUCACAUCUCCUGAUUUAAUGGAGCUGCUUUGCACUUUUUACACUGUUUAUUCACCAACACUUUAUUUAAUAAAAGUCCCAUCUAGUUUUUAUGAGGAAUGUGAUGUUUUAAUUUCUCUGUGAAUAACUGCAGUCUAAUGCAACAGCUAGAGUUGUAACAUCUGUCCUGAUAUUGAUCAUGAAGUAUUGAUCAGAAUACUUAUGGUCAGCAGUCAUCCCUGUAGUUUUACAUUAAAAUCUUUACUUGUGUUGUGAACUUUGGUAAGAAGCAGAAACAUUAGCGUUGCCAUGGAUACAUGAGUGUUAAAUUCUGUCCAUGUUUCCAUUUUGGGAAAUGCAGUCCAGAUGAGUUUGUUUUUACUGCCAGCUACCAUUCAGUCUGAGAUAUUAAGAAUAAAUAAAUGUGCAUAAUGUGGAAAUGAACAGAUUUUAUUUUUAUUUAUUCCUACAGUUGCUGCAUG
ensembl:lncRNA